AUUGAACGCUGGCGGCAGGCCUAACACAUGCAAGUCGAACGAGUGGCGGACGGGUGAGUAAUGUCUGGGAAACUGCCCGAUGGAGGGGGAUAACUACUGGAAACGGUAGCUAAUACCGCAUACCAUCGGAUGUGCCCAGAUGGGAUUAGCUGGUAGGUGGGGUAACGGCUCACCUAGGCGACGAUCCCUAGCUGGUCUGAGAGGAUGACCGGCGACACUGGAACUGAGACAGGGGCCAGAGUCCUACGGGAGGGAGCAGUGGGGAAUAUUGCACAAUGGGCGCAAGCCUGGUGCAGCCAUGCCGCGUGUAUGAAGAAGGCCUUCGGGUUGUAAAGUACUUGAAGCGAGGAGGCGUUACUCGCAGAAGAAGCACCGGCUAACUCCGUGCCAGCCGCCGCGGUAAUUC
rnacentral:rRNA from 1 species